UACGUAGGGAGCAAGCGUUGUCCGGAAUCAUUGGGCGUAAAGCGCGCGUAGGUGGCCUCAUAAGUCCGCUGUGAAAGUCAAAGGCUCAACCUUUGAAAGCCAGGUGGAAUACUGUAGAGGGCUAGAGUACGGAAGAGGCGAGUGGAAUUCCUGGUGUAGCGGUGGAAUGCGCAGAUAGUCAGGAGGAACACCAAUAGCGAAGGCAGCUCGCUGGGACGUUACUGACACUGAGGCGCGAAAGCGUGGGGAGCGAACAG
rnacentral:rRNA from 1 species